GCCUGAGCACUGUGAAAGCACAGAGGACAUACAGACAUGAGGGGCCUCAGAUUAAUAUUUUCCUCCCUGAUUUAUCCCCUUGCCCUCCCUUGCACAUCACUUUGGUAUGACAACAAUACAUAGUUCGAUUACAUGUGAGAUACAAAAUCAUGGUAGCUGUUCAAAAAUAUUCACAGGCAGAGAAUUUCAGAAACCACAGUCAAACACAGACACAAGGUCAAAUGUGGGGGAAUAUCCUAUGAAAAUCACCGAAGGAGAAGAGAAAACAAAAAGCUGUUCUUUCUACUAUUUAGCCUUUCCAGCAUUCCUGUCUUCACACUUUGGCCCCAAGUAAAAGUACUCUAAAGAGAAUAUGUCCACAGGUCUCAUGAGGAGGAAGAGGAUAGUAUUGGGGGUAGUGAGGGGAGUGGCAAACAACAAUAGCAACGCAACAGAAAAACCAGAGUAUAUGUACUAUUUAAUUCUACUUUAAGAUGCUGCUAUGAACUCGAGUGCAUUUAAUUCCCUUUUAAACAUCACGUAAGUUUCUCUCCUCCCUGCUCACUCUGUGGGCUCCAUACUGAGUCUAAGAUUAAUCCCUUGGGAGUUUUUUAUUUCCUAUUCUGCCUAUCUUUCAUCUUCACCCCAGGCUAAGCAGAUGGAUGUGAAUUCAAAGUUUUCUGAUCUUUAGCACAAGUUAUGGAGGGUUAUCUUUGGCUGUAUAUCUUUCUGCUGGCAGAGCUCCCUUGGUGAUGAAGGAUUAACCACCCCAGCUGUCUCUUCCCAGAAUGAUGCAGUGCCAUGCUCCUCAACACGACAGCAUCACUUAAUCUUAAUGUCCGCUCUCCGAGCGCAGCCGCGCAGGACAAAGCCAAUCAACAUCAGAUGCCACCAAGAUGGACCUACUGCUUGGCCCUGGAGUCUCUCACCCACUCACUCCUAUUAAUCAACAUCAUCCAACCCAAUCCCAGAGUUCACUUCUCUCCAACCACAGUUAAACCAAGCUGGGGUCCAUGUUUGCCAUCUGAAGCAGAAGGCAGGGGGAGGGGUGAUAAGCAACAACCAGCUAUGACAGCAUACCAAGGCAUGUCACUGAGUGACAGUCUUUCUUCUGCUCAGCUCCUCUCUUACACCAACUUUGGUUCUGGAGCCUUCGACACUUCAUCAUGUACUCAAUUCAGCCAUAGAGAUGUGUUUAAUCUCAAAUGGAAUAUACCUGUCUUUCAAAGACCCUAGAAAUAUCACAAGGAAGACAUGGAACCAUUUACAGACAAACUGAAUGAGCCUUUUCUUAUCUUCACCCUGACCAGAUCACUUUUCCUCUGUUCCCUCUUCCAAAGCAAGGCCUCAAAAUCUCUAUUAUUCUUUUCUUUCUUCAGCCAGUUCUGGGGCUUGCAUUUUGGGCUUAGGUGCUUUCCCUGAGCUUUUUUGC